rnacentral:rRNA from 1 species
ACGAGUGGUGAAAGCGUUAUUCGGAAUCAUUGGGCGUACAGAGAGUGUAGGUGGUAUGUUAAGUCUGAUGUUAAAGACUCUAGCCUAAAUGGAGAAAGGCAAUGGAAACUGGUGUACUAGAGGGUGGAAGAGAGAAGUGGAAUUCUCGGUGUAGCGGUAAAAUGCGUAGAGAUCGAGAGGAACACCGAUGGCGAAGGCAGCUUCUUGGUCCAUACCUGACACUGAGGCGCGAAAGCGUAGGGAACAAACAG